AUUGAACGCUGGCGGCAUGCUUUACACAUGCAAGUCGAACGGUAACAGGCCGCAAGGUGCUGACGAGUGGCGAACGGGUGAGUAAUGCAUCGGAACGUGCCCAGUCGUGGGGGAUAACGCAGCGAAAGCUGUGCUAAUACCGCAUACGAUCUAUGGAUGAAAGCGGGGGACCGUAAGGCCUCGCGCGAUUGGAGCGGCCGAUGUCAGAUUAGCUAGUUGGUGGGGUAAGGGCCCACCAAGGCGACGAUCUGUAGCUGGUCUGAGAGGACGACCAGCCACAUUGGGACUGAGACACGGCCCAGACUCCUACGGGAGGCAGCAGUGGGGAAUUUUGGACAAUGGGCGCAAGCCUGAUCCAGCAAUGCCGCGUGCAGGAAGAAGGCCUUCGGGUUGUAAACUGCUUUUGUACGGAACGAAACGGUCUGGGUUAAUACCCUAGGCUAAUGACGGUACCGUAAGAAUAAGCACCGGCUAACUACGUGCCAGCAGCCGCCGUAAGAC
rnacentral:rRNA from 1 species